CAGUAUGAACCAGUACAGACCAGUAUGGACCAGUAGGAGUCAAUAUAAAACCGAUUAUGAACCAGUAUGGACCAGUAUCAGCUAGAAGCAUGGGCCAUUAGGCAUCAGUAUGGAUGAGCAUGAACCAGUAUGGACCAGUAUGGACCAGUAUAAACCAGCAUGGACCAGUGUAAAACAGUACGGACCAGUAGGAACUAGUAUGGACCAGUAUGAACCAGUAUAAUCCAGUACAGACCAGUACAGACCAGUACAGCUGCCCAGGACACUGCUGUACCCUCCCAGUGCCUUCCCAGUUCCCUCCCAGUCCAUUCCAUUCCCCCCCAGUCCCCUCCCAGUCCCUCCCAGUGCCCCCCAGUCCCUCCCAAUCCCCUCCCAGCCCCUCCCAGUCCCUUCCCAGUAUGGACCAGUAACCCCCAAUUCCCUCCCCGUCUCCUUCCAGUCCCUCCCAGUGCCCCCCAUUCCAUUCUAACACCCCCCAGUUCCCUCCCAGUGCCCCCCAGUCCCUCCCAAUCCCCUCCCAGCCCCUCCCAGUCCCUCCCAGUGCUCCCAGUUCCCCCACCUGCCCCUCCACGGUGGUUCCCAGUAACACGAAGAGCUCUCCCAGUUCGCGCAGGCCCCGCUCCAGCCGCAGCAGCUCCUGGUGCCGCGCCGUCACCUCGUCCAGCGCCGCCCGCGUCGCCCGCGCCGCCCCCAGCACCUGCGCCAGCACCCAUGGGUGCCCCCCUGACACCCAUGGGUGCCCCCGACCCCCACCCGGACUCCCCCCGACGCCCAUGGGUGCCCCCCGACGCCCAGGGGUGGCCCCCCGAGACCCAGGGGUGCGCCCGUUGUCCCGGUGUCUGAGUGGUGGUGGGGGUGGGGAGGGGCACCCAUGGGUGCUACUGGGCACCCAUGGGUGCUAUAGGGCAGGUAGGGGACCCUUGGAUGUGUAUGGGUGCUACUGGGCACCCAUGGGUGCUACUGGACACCUAUGGGUGCUACGGGACACCUAUGGGUGCUAUGGGGCACCCAUGGGUGCUACGGGACACCCAUGGGUGCUAUAGGGCAUCCUUGGCCCCUUUGGGUCCCUAUGGGUGCCCCCGGCUACCUAUGGCACCCAUGGGUGCUGGGGGGGACCUAUGGGUGCUAUGGGGCACCCAUGGGUGCUACGGGACACCCAUGGGUGCUAUAGGGCACCCUUGGCCCCUUUGGGUGCCACCAGCUACCUAUGGCACCCAUGGGUGCUGGGGGGGGGCGGUGGGACCUGUGCCCCCCCCCAGCCCCACCCCCCCCCCCCCGCCCCCCUGGGGCCCCCCCCCCCCCACCCCAGCACCCAUGGGUGCCCCCCUCACGUUGGAGACGAAGACUUCGCUCUGCCCCGUCUCCAGCAUCUCCUCCAGCUCCUCGUCCGUCACCGCCGAAUU
rnacentral:lncRNA from 1 species